AAAAAAAUCUUCUUAUUGUGUUCUUUUUCCUCUGCAGAGCUGACCUAAAGCUGACUUUGUGCUUUCCUCACUUACCUGUUUCCAUUUUCCCGGAAAACUCAACACUGGCAGUGCUUCUCUCUGCCUUGUAAUUCAAGGAGUGCUGGCCUCAUGCAGGUUACCCAUGGUGUUGUGUGCUGCCUGUCCAGCAGUGAGCCAUGGAGUAUCCCAGAGGCAGGCUCCCUCUGCCAUCUCAAGCUCUAGCUGCUCCGUGUGGGGUUAGCCUGAGAGUCUGAAGCACAUCACAGCUUGUCCCAGCCAAUUCUUUGCAGACUCUCCAAGGCCAUAAUUUCUUCUUGCUUUUAGUGAUCAUUUCUUGGUCAGAUUGAAUGAGUGCUGCCACCUCCAGACAUACUUUUCAGCUAUCAACCUCCUCUCAGUUAUUUGCAUUCACAGUUAUACCAAAACUCUUGCUGGUGGAGCAAGUUGGUUGAUCCAUAGCACUGGAGGACUUUGUGUUAAUGGAGACCUUGCUGGAGAAGAUCCUCAGUUAAAAAAUACCAGGAAAUAUUUAACAGCUGCCUUUCUACAUUUGAGUUUUGCUGUUAUAAAUUUCCUGGGGUUUUUUUUGCCCUGUACAUACUCUUGAUCCAAGGAAUAAAAUAUCUAUGAGUUUGCCCAUUGAUCACAGCUGCAGCUACAUUUUCAGCCUGACUACAAGAGUUUACAAAAUGGAAAAUUUGAGCAGUCAUCUGUGGAUAUUCUAAACAUAAAUCCAAAAUUAAUUUUCCCCAGCAUAUUUCCCUUCAUAUGAAGUGACACUCUCCUGUAUAGCAGCUCAUGUGCUGCUCCACCAAAUGGAGAAAGAUAAAAGUAGAUGUUGCUGUCAGUGGAGACCAUUUGGCACAUUACCAGCUGAUCACACACACACAUGUGUCACCUGCAGAAACAGGACUGGGAUAUUAUUAACAGGCUGGGGGGAACCAAACAGAAGAUAUGGAACAUUACAACAGAAUUCCAAAGUACAAACCAGACUUUAAGGUAUCAGCUCAAAACACCAAAUUAUUGGGUGUUGAAAUCGGCAGCAUCUACAUUGGUGAAGACUAUGUCUGGAAGUGUGCCUCUGAACAGGCUGCUUUGCUGGAUGUUGAGAUGCCCACCAGCAAGGUCUUGGCAUAGUCUCUGCCCUGUACUGGAUUCCAAAUGCCAGCUGAGGCUGGUCAAUGCACGACCAAGGAGGCUGGCCUGAUGUACAUUGUCACAGAGAGUGAAAAGUCCCAGUCUUCAGCUGCAAAUGAAAGAGAAGCAAGUUGCCUAUUAUCCAGCACAGAGUUCGGAGCCAGCUGUGUGAUGCACAAGUCCAGCUCAAGAGAUUUUUCCCCUUACUGAGAUAGAGAAAUGGUACAUUAUCUGAGCAAACUUCUGAAGAGAAGAACAAAUAGCAUUUUGGGUUAGUUCUACUCAAACCAUGUUACAGGGCUUCUACAAAAAACACUCACUGAACAUCUAGUGAUAAUGGUUUGUACACCUGACUUAAAACCUACAUUUCUGAAUAUUCCCUUGCAUGGCUUCAUUGUAGUUCCACGGAGAUGCAGUGCUAGAAAAAUCUUAUCCAAAUAUGUGUAAAGUUUACAAUUCUGUAAGUCCCAGCUGUUGAAGAGGUCAGAGAACUUCCAAAUGAAACUGCAUAUCCAGUUUCAGCUGGCAACUGCCAGAAAGUUAAGUGAAAAAAUCCCAAUCCCACUUCCAAAGCAUAUUCUUUGCUAGGCACUGUAAUAUAUCACCUUCUUCUGUAAACUUCUGGCAUUUCCAAGUUUCAUCCAUAGGAAAAGAAUAGUUGGAAAAAGUAUCACAGCUUCUUUUAAUAAGAUACUAUUGUGUUUUUGUGAACUCCAACAUCAGGAAGCAUUUUUCAAGUGCAUCACAGAAAAUUAAUGUCUUGCAAUAUUCAUUAAUUGAAUUGCAUUUUAAUAUAUCAUUUGACUAAUAAUGUAAGACAUUUAUAUUUUGGGCUUUUCUGUCUCAAAACCAGCUCUUUCUCACAGAUCCCACUUCUUCAUACCUGUGACAUCACAUGAAUCAUGACAUCAGAGUCAUUACCGUGGAAAGACACUUGCCUCACAAUAUUAUUGUGUUAUCAAACAGAAGCAGCUGGGUAAUGUGGCUGAAUAAUCCUGUUCUGUAUAUUCAGCAAUAGCAAAAUGAAUACCGAAAAUUACUAGCAAACUAAAUAGCUACUUCUAUAAAUACUCCCCUUGCAAAAGUUCACCCUAUUUUAAAAGCCACUUGUUAAAUGCUAUUUAGUAUAUAUAUAAAGACUAGUGGAUGAAGACCAAAGUCCUUGAAACAGACAAGAAAAAUACCUCAUUGCUAAGUGUAAAGUAAAAUUCUCUAUCUCUUUGCUUUAUCUGUAUGACUUUUGUGUCCCCAUCAGCCAGAAAGAGGCAUUUUGCUUGCUAUCACUACUAGCUGCUUGGGCAUUUCUGGUUUUAAAAAAAAGUAAACAAGUGUCCUGUACAUCGAUUGCUGUAGCACUUUGCACCACUGCAUUUCAUUCUUCUCAAUAUUGAGAGGCAACAUUAAAUCCCUGCUUGGAUUUAGAACCACCAACUUUCUCCACAACAAAUGGAGACAAGUAGAUAAGUGACAAGUAGUGAGGGAUGAGCACCAGAAGUCUGUUCUGGAGAGUUAAAUAAUUCUGUUGAAUCAGUAUCAGUGGAAAAGGAAGUGUGAUAGAGUUGGAACAUACCACAACAGUUUCAAACUAGCCUAAUUUGGGCCAAAUUUAAAGCCAAUGCCACUGAGGAAAGCACCUUGAAAGGAAGGAAAUUUCAGCACCCUAUGAUCUGAGUUGCUUGGGUACUCAGCAAGAUUACCCACCAUGUUGUUAUGACUGAUGAUAGCACUGUUGACCAAAGAAAAGAGCCCAACAGCAUCUGGGCAUUAUGGCAGGAUUCAUUCUUAGAAAAGGUAUCCUGCCCUACAAGUGGAUAAACUUUGUGCUACGGAGACAUGUCCUGUCCUUGUGCUUGGAUGGUGAAGUAAGCCUGUCCAUAUUGCACACAAAGUCCAAGGCACAGACAAGUGAGCUGUCACUGCAGGCAGAUCUGUCUACACAUGGAGGGAAAAUGUGCACCAAAUAGCACUGAAAGCUCCAGAGGAGAGUUUGGAUAAUAGAGCUGUUCCCUUUCCUUCACACUGAAACAAGUAAAUGAGAUCUCUUUCCCCUCUUCUCUCUUUAAAAUAUUAGAAAUCAUUACCAAAGCUUGGCUAUUAUAUUCCCUGUGCCUAAAAGCCCCUGUUUUCUUCUUUAUGUGAAAAGAACAUUGAAUGCAUCACAUUUACUGCUGAACAAAUGCAUUUGCCAGUUCUCUUAAAUGCCAAAACAAUUGCUUUAACAGAGUUAAUAAGGGGGGGUGGUGAUGUGAACAGCCUUAUUUUUGUCCUUAGCGCCCCAAAAGGAAAUGUGUUUCUUACUAAUAAUAGUGUAUGUGACAGAAAAUACCAAGUACAUGCAACUGUUCUCAUUCACUUGCCAAAACGGAUAAUUCACAUCAGGGCUUAAAAAAGUAAAACAAAAUAAACAGAAAACCACCCCAAGUAAACAAAUUAACCCUUCCCCUUCUACCAGUAAUUCUCCUAAACUGAAAGCUUGAAUCUAAAUUAUUUUGCUGGUGACCAGAGAGUGAAUUAAAGGGAAGAAGAACAGAGCUUGUGUUUAAAUUCCCUGAGGAGCUUGUAAGAAACCAUCCUGUCUGACACAUUUUUUUUUUCUCCAGUCAACCGUUAAGCACACCCUGCCAGUGUAAACCAGACCUGUGGAGGAAACAGCUUAUUCACACCCAAAUUUAUUUCUAGCCUUCCAUUUUUUUGUAGUACUCAAUACAAUUCUGACAGGCUCAAACAUUCAACAGUCAUAAAUUCACUUUCCUCCUGCAUCCCCCUAGAGAAAUCAUGUAACUGGGCUUAAAACCAGGGAAACUUAACUGAAAUUUAUUAAUAAAUGUUGCACAGUUUUGUUUGUUUCAGUUCCUGAUUCUCAAAACUACAUGUACUCUCUGCUGCAUUUCCAGGAUUUUCUGUAGCCACAAUGACAAGGAAUGACGUUCUUUACACCCCUUUAUUUCCAGUAGCUGAAGCUGUAGGGGGGAAAUAAAAGUGAAUCACUAUCAUACAGCUCCAGAUGGAGCAGAUGUAGCAAUGCUGCUGCCUUGUUAGUUCACGCCCAGCAUGCUUAAACCUGAAACCCCAGCACACUGCCUUCAGGGGUGCUGGAAGUGAAUGCCACACCUAAUUCCAGGGAGCAAAACGGUACAAGAUAGUUGGCUGAGGGUACAUGCCUGCACCUCAUUAACAAUUUGUCUCAAAUUAGCAACCAGCUCUCAGAGAAAAGUCUUGUGCUUGAAAUGUAAUGGACGAUGGCAUUCCCAACUUGGCCAGGUACUUCUUCCCUGACUUGGGAGGUUUCAGCACAGCAGGAGACCUGUGAUGACAGAAAGUAGCCAGGGGACCCUGUAGCUGGGACGUCACCUGGAGUGUGUUCAGUGGUUACCAGGAGCUGGGAUGUGCCCCUGUGGGUGGGCUUGGCUCAGAGGGCCCACGGCCAGCAGGGCAGGGCAGGGGGGAGCUGGAGACUGCCCCACUGCAGUGCUGAUGGGGCAGGGGCUGGUGGCCGGGGGGUGACAUGGGCUCCAGGGCUCCAGAGGUCAGGGGAGCCCCAGGGGUGGGCAGGGACAGGCAGGGCUGGCGGUGCCGGGAUGUGCCAUGGCAGGGCUGUGACAUAGUCUGGGACAGUCCGGAGUGGCUCUUCUCUCAAACAUGGCCUUUUUUCCCUUCAGGAGGAAGGGAAUGUUUUGGUGUUCUACCACGUCCACACAGAUAUCUGCAGAUCUAUAAAGCCUUGCCCAAAGCCACUAUUGGUACCCCUGUGCAAAAGAUUAAUUCCUUCCUAAAUUAACCCUGGGUUCAUAGAGGGACCAGAGGCUUAUAACAAGUACAUCAAAAACCUGUUGCCUGCUACAGGAAGAUCACUCCGUGCCUUUUAUCACUCUUUGCCUACAGUGUACCAAUGAGUAAUUGUAGUGAGCAUUUUCUUCCAUGGAGAAAGGGCUCUCUAAAUCCUCAAGGGCCUCCGGUUUAAUCAAUUUAAGACCAAGCAAUAGCUUAGCAGUCAGAUCCUGAAAAUUUAUUUUUGACAGCCCAGGACCUUUCCUCCCUGUUAGUGCUCUCUGGAGGCCAGCAUGCCCCCUGCCCACCUGCCCUGGGAGAAUCAGUGGGUCCCUUCUUCCCCAUCCAGGUUUUCGGCAGGAUCACAGUCAGAUCCAGGCCCGCUUCUCAGCUCCCUUCUGUGUGGCAACUGGACACAAAAUCCACACUAUUCCUCUCAAAGACUUGUUGUAUUUGUGCAACAGGACUUUAAAGGCUGAUGAGGUAUGAAGCCUUUCUAGUUUCUGGUUAAUAUGAUGUAUUUAUUCACUCUAGGACCACUGCUUUCUACUUUAAUCUUCCAGGAAAAAACACACCAAAAUAAACGAAGGAGUAAAGACUUACUAAAUAAAACUCUUAACCCUGUCUCAAUAAUCUCCAAUAGUAGAAAGCAUUAUCAACCAGUGCUGUGGAAAGAGCUGACCCAAAACCUUCCUCCCCUCCUUGCUUGGACAGAGUCAGUCCAGGCAGUACUCAAGCCUUCUGUUCUUUCCAAGCAUCUUCAGAAAUGCUUGGCUGUGAUUUAAUAAAGACAGUUUUAAAAGAAACUUUUUCUACAUCUUAUGUCUGUCUUAAAAUGUAGGGAUCUUAAGGGUCUCUCGGCUUGGCACACUUGGAUCUGCUCUGCUACAAGGUAAAAAUAGCCACUAGUGAAUAUUUGAAGGCAUGGCCUGUGAAGGUACAAUCCCUGUGAGAUCUGUUUGGGGCAUCCUACACAUCAUUUUUAGUGUUCUAUCAAUGGAUAGAAUAAAUUGGUACCUUGUAGACUGGCUUCGCACCUAGACAGAGGCAGCCUUGCAAACCCAGUGCUGCUAUCAAAAUAGCAGUCAUAGUCCAGCACAGAAGCAUCUCUCAUCUCUCACUAAUUGAUUUGGUUUCUAUAAACCCUUCAAUGAGCUCCAAGAAUUGACAAAAACAGCUGAUUUCCACAGCUGUCUAGAUUUUGGGGGAGAUGGUGAGGAUCUGGGAUCCACAGGGUUAGAGAUAUGCCUAUGGGCUUCUGCACAGUGUUAACAACCCUUCUACCAAAAAGUCUGGGCUACCAAAAUUCUGCAGCAAAGAAAAGCCCAUUUUUCUUAUGUAUUUGGAAUGACAAUCCAGCACAACCAGCACCCUUCUGGGUACCCAUUUUACACCAGCCCUGAUGCAUGGAUUUUUUUCCAUGUUUUGGUAGCAAUGUGAAAAGCUUAUGGCCUACAUGGUAGGAGAAGUAAUUCCUUUAAAAAUCAUUCCUAAAAAGCAGCCAUAGAUAAAAACCUUAGGGGUGUUCCUAGCCUUAUUAGGCUUACAGCUAUUCCCAGUUCAUGUAUAAUGCUAACUAGUCUAAUCAUUUUUUAUUGUCAAGUGUGAAAAUGCAGUAUUAAAGGCCACCUCCUUAUUUAAGACUGAGAGUGUGAAAUUGGGAAAGUGUUAAGAAAAACAAAACAAAACAAAACAAAACAAAAACAGUAAGAAAAUUAAAGCUCUGCAUGUCUUUUUUUAUUGUUAUUUAUUUUCAGUUGCUGAGAAUUUUAUAGACUCUCUUUCAUCUUUGUUCCCUUCAAAGACAAGUCUAUUUUUUCUUCAUUCUGAAGGCAUUCAUUCGGUGUGAAGCAGUGGCAUGGCUCCCUGGGCAGAGAGCUGUCAGCAAGCCCAAAGUGCUGCCAUGCAAACCAGGCCCACAUCAAAACUUGCUACAUGUCUCAUGAAGCUGUCUCAGGGAGAGCCAUUUUCUGAGAAAAAUGUUUCCUUCUUUCCCCUUUACUUUCACCAUCCAUAUUUUUAUGGAGGAGCCCUUUUAGCACAGUAUUUAUUUCUGAGUCACACAAAUCAGCUCCAAAGCUUGGGUAGUGCCAAAAAUGGGCUAUUCAUAUUCAUUCGUGCUCUUGUGCACAUCUCUGCUCUCAUAAAAUGGAACAUGUGUCUGAUGAGCUUAUUUACUUUCUAAAUGUGUGGCAGGAAAGGAUAGAAAAUGUGCAGGAGAUAAUGGUAGAAGCACUGGAAUAACACCAAUAAGGCAUUUGCAAAUAGAAACUUCACAGUUUGCCUGAUCUCUGCCAAACUCUGUGAAGUUUGGUUAUAAUGGUGUUGAUUUUAUUGUUAGGCCCUUAAAAUACACGGGCAAAUGCUUCUGCCAGUUAAUUCCCAAAAUAAUGAUGCUGCUCAGUACAGCGAUGACUCACUCCAAGAUGCCAUUUGACUGGUUGCUGUUCACUUCCACAGGGAAGAAAACUGCUUAGGUCGUCACCUGUACUGUCACUUAGAGCCUCUUGGGGGCCAGGGCUUUUUGAGUACCCCCAUCUGCAGCAGGUUGUGUCUGCUGUGACUCAUCCUGCACACAAAACUCACGGUCAGCUCCCAUACCACAGCUCUCAUGGAUAAUGCAAUACAGAAAAUGCUUGGGGAGCAAAUUUCUCCACUCCCUGGUGCACCCAUGACAUAGCAACCCCUUGCAGAACGGGCAGACGACCCCAGUGACCAUGGGGAGUGCUCACGAUGCUGGCCUGCAGCAUCUCUUUCCACAUAAGAGAAAUAGGGAUUAUUUUCACUGUAGGAUUUUGGUGCCCCCUAAUAGGACCCCAUACUAAAAUGGAGUAUGCUCCCCACCCAGUUAUCUUGUGUACACAAGGCAGUGGCUAACUGAUCAGUCCUGUCUUUGGCAAAAAGCAAGCAACCUAGAUAAGCCUGUGUCUACCAAGUUACUACUCCUGUCCUUUCUCCAAAAAUAUUGAACAUAAUUUCAGGUUUUGCAAGUGUGUUUCUUGCCCCCAUUGCUGACACUGUAUCCCCGGUGUCACAAACAUUCUUAUAUUUACGCUAAAAGUAUGAGGGAAUUAAAGACCACAAUUCUGAAAAAUCCUUAGGGAAUAAUUUUGUAAAUAUAUAUUCAGUGCUAUGAGUCCACUUCAACAGUAAAAAAAAAAAAAAAAAAAAAAAAAAAGGAAAAGAGAAAAAAACUUCUCAGCUCUUCAGAAGUAUUUUUAUGAACCUCAGGGAUGAGUCAUCUCUGGCAGAGGAGAUUUUAACAGGAUGCAAAGGGCUGAUUCCACACCGAAGCAGAGAAACCACCAUUCCUUCAGUUUGAUGAAGGAAUCAAUUCAAGGCUAAUAUUUUUUUUAACUAGAAUUUCCCUUACCACCACAAAGAGCCCUCAGCUCCUCAUACAUGACUGACAGAUAGUCCUCUCUUUUUCCACAUUGUGCACAGACCAUCUUGCCCAUAACCUGGGCCAGGGGAUGUGUAACAACAGGGACAAGAAUCCUCUGCUACCUUGAGAAAGAUCCAGAAGGGCUGCUUCCUUUUUCCGUUUUUCCUCCCCAGAAAAAUGCAUCUCCUUCAACAAUCACCCUCUCCUUUCCUCACCAGGCAUGGCAAUUCAGUAUCAGACAGAGCCAUCUCUAAUCUCCCACAUACUUUCAAUUUUACUUGCUGCCAGGGCACUAAGAGUCCCCUCUCUCUGUGUGGCAGAUAAAAUGAGCUCAAAGUUACACUUUGAGGGAUGGAGGUCAGUUCCCUGAUAUAUCUAGGUUGAAGCCUCUAAUUACUUGAGAUUUGUGCAAGUGAGAGCUGUGAAUAUGCUGCAUUUCUAAAAUCUACUUAUUAACAUGAUAACAAAUGUAAUGGAUGCCUUCAGAUGCUUGAAAGCUGAAGGCAGAAGCAAGCGUGCAUACACAUAAAGACGGCUUCUACAUUUUUAAGCCAAUUUGCUACUUGCCUAGAAUUAAAAAGAGGAUGACAAGUUCAGAUCUGCAAAGAGUUUAAUGGGAGCUAACAAAGACUAACUGUGGCUGACAGGGCAGAGAUGGAUGAUAUCUUCCCUACUGCAGAUAGGAUUUUUUUUUUGUGGUCUUAAAUCUUUUGAGUCUAAAUUUUAAAUUCUCUAUUACUCUCUACCAUUUCGAUGUUUACAUACAGGUUCCUGUAAGAGAGUUGCAAAAAUCCUUUUGGGAUCAUUUUUCAAUCAACAGAUUAAACGAAAGACAAAGUGCUCCCAGCUAUUCUUCCAAUGCAUCUUGCAUUUCUAACAGCAGAAAGUACAUUCUAGAAAAAGCCCUGGUCUUGGUGUGGGCUCAACAAAGUUUGCCAAUAUCUCACUCAAAACAAAUUGGUAAAAGGAUUUUGCUGAAUGAAGAUUAGAACAGUCUCACCUAUUCUGGUGGAAGGACCCUUUCCAAAUGCAAAUCAGGAGCAGCUUUUCCAUUGUUCUCAGCUGAAAGGCAGUCAUGCACUUGUCUUCCCAAAAGUCCUGGCCCAGAUUUGACACUGCAUUGUUACCUGCAUCACACAGUCAAUUCACCUGGAAUGGAAGAGCAAAGAUCCUUCCUAACACCAAUAACACACACACUUUAAAACAAACAUGUUACUAACUCCACACCUGGAGUGGGAAGGAGGGUCCUCAGUUCCUAAGCCUUCUCAGUUUUAGAUCAAAUUGCUACUGCUGGGGUGGAGGUAGUGUUUUUCCUACCCCAAGCACAGCUAUACAGUGCCAUAUGAAUAAACAAUAGGCCAAGGCAAGAGAUCAGAGAAAUAUAACAGUGCUCUGACACCUCAAGUUUGGAUUACUUACAAACUGCAUCAAUUCCUGGCAAGGCUGACCUAACUUGUGAUCCUGAGAGCUCGAUAAAUUGAAUUCCACAGAGUUCACCAUGUAGAGGUUUUUUGAUGAAAACUUUAAAAAACAGUGUUUGGUUUUUUCCUCUCCACAGCAGUAUAGUUCUAAGAGUGUUGCAUAAGCAUCGUGACUUCUCUUUCUGCUUUGAGACAAGUUUCUUUCCGUGCUAUGCACUGAGUUCUCCUUGGGUUUUUCUGUCCACCCCAGAGGAUGCUGUGUUUCCAUGAUGUAUUAUUAAAGUGUGUAUGUUGUUUAUGAGCUACCCUGAUAUCCUUCAGUAGGGAGACACAAUCUAAAUGUAAAAUAGCAUUACUGUGAUAAAUAAGAAUUCAAAGCUGUGGCAUUUUUACUGCAUGUAUGAGAUGUGCUUGGAUGCUAAAGCUAUCCUCUUUUGCAUGUAAAAAACUAAUACUUUGUAGUUUCUUCACUGAGAUCUGUAAGUACAGAAACAAAGUCUGACUUCUAAAUGACUAAUGUUUGCAACUGCACUGCAGACCUGAGACGCCGCCUCCGCAGCCACCUGAAAAUGACUGACUGGUUCACAGCAAGAAGGAUGGAAUGGCAAGAAGAAGGGCCUGAAGUGGAAAACUGCCCCAUCAGUUAGCAGGAAGCUUAUGAGGUAGAAAUAAUAGAAGAUCAGAAGCUGCCCUGCAUUUUUCAGCAAUAUGCCUCCAUCCUACACAAAAAAUUUGCACAGAAUACAUCUCCAUUUUACAUAUGCUCAGCUACUUAACAUUUAAAAAAUACUUUUCAAAUAUGCUGUCAAUAUUCAGCAAUUAUAUUAUGCUAAAACAUCAGCAGUGCUAACAGAGGGGGGAAAAAAGUCACUUCUGGCCCAAAUGCAAAUAGGUUUCCAUGGGAAUAAACUGCUUCCAGUUUAAGUGCUACUGCCAGCCUAAGUGCACAAAAUGUAUUAUCCAUGUUUCAUCAACCUUCUUUGUUGAAGGUCUCACAGCAAAAUGUCAGAUUUCAAUACUGGGAAAAGAUUACAAAAAAUGAUUUCACUCUUUACAUGACUGAGGUUUUUUCUUUUCUUCCUUUUUUUUGCUUCAUUUUUCUUUAAAAAUUAAGAUUGUAACUUCAAAAUAAUGCAGACUUUCAAAUGGCAUAUAUUCUAAAUCUCCUUCAGGCCUCUCUUUAUUGAUUCAUAGAUUUGUCAGCAGCCUGAGAUAUUUGUCUUUCUAUUUGGCAACACUGUGUGGUUUGGAAAUGUAGUUUAUAUGCAUUGGACCUCAUAGUUGUUUUGGCUACUUCAUCCUAUGCAUCCUAAUCUAUGAUACAAUGCAAAAAUUUUCAUGUAGCCAUGGUAACCUGAGAACCUUAUCCAACGCUUUAACAAUUUUACCCAUAUACUUCACUUUGUUCCAAAGAGCCUCUUCAGCAGUAUGAAGCUGUAUUUAACUGCUAGCUGUGUUUAGUUGCUAUAGUUUACCAAUAAAAAGCUGUACAAGGUAAUGUAA